UCUAGAUCUAGAUCUAUCUCUGUCCUCUCUUUCUUCUCUUCCUUGACGCCCUCUAUUUCCUCUCUUCGUCAAUCCUCUCAAUUUUCUUUUCGUCAUCGAGAAUUCGAGAUCGCCAAGCAAUGGAACAAGAUCAUGAAGACCAGAUUGAUGGCUAAGGAAGAGAUUGUCAGCAGUCUCCUUUGAAAUUCAAAACAUUGAUUUUGCUCUCUGAAAACCCUAAAGUUCAAAACAUUACUUUGCCGCAGCAGAGAGUCUCGCAUCUCCAAGGCAAGAAAGAUUCAACCUUUAUGAGUUUUAUUCAAUUUUUGCUUCACAUUGGCUUCCGCUUACACUUAAAUUAGUAUAGGAAGGAAUUUGUGCUGUGUUGAAGUGAUUUCUUUUAUCUAUUUUGAGCACCGGCUUGAAGGGCUGAGCAAGACCGCCAAGGAGAUUCUCUCGGUUGGGUCCACGGUCAAUGGCAAGGAUCCCAAUUUGCAGCAGUAGAUUAUGGGAACAACCGAAAUAGUUCUGCAAAUUGCCAUUGGUGCAAGGAAAUGCCGUUAUUCUAUUCUAACCUCGUGGAUGGUCACUUAACAGUCACAUAGAAUGACAUGUGGAUGAAUUUAGCUCUCUGUUUUCAUGACAUGGAGGGUUUGGGUAUUGCGAAUGAGGUUAAAAAGCACAAGGCCAACGAUAAGUUCUGGUUGUCCGUAUCAAAGAAGAGUUGCAGCUGUGGGAUGAAGAGUCUUAGUUAUAUAUAAUACAGUUGGAUGAUGGGUGCAUCUGUAACUUUUUAGUUAGUAUAUUUAUUGUAUGAUACAUUUUGAAAUAUAGUAUAAGGUACAAUACAAGAAUGUAGAGGUGCCAAUUGGCACCUUAUUUUUUUUAAUCCAAUCUCAUAAAUUUGCCACUGAUAUCAGUGGCAUUCCAAAGCCACUAACAUCAGUGUGGGUUUAGAUUCUGUCUUGCCUUGGAUGAAGUUAUUCCACUGUUGUUUUUUCAGUGUCCUUUGCCCCAAUAGCACCUGCUAUAGAGGGGACUGAUUCCUCAUUAGUGGCUGCAUAGUGGCUAAUGCCUUUAGCCACUGUUAUCAGUCUCCUUUGUCCCAAUAGAGACUAAUUCCAAUCAGUGGGGUUUGGGGAAAUUUGUAGUAGUGUUUCGGGGCCUGGGGGGCAAUGUUUGAGCCCAAAAGUAAUUUUGGCAAGAUCCUUUAUUGGAUUUAGCAUAGCGGGCCGAUACCUGCGGCCCAAAAAUAAGCCUACUUGGGUUUGGGUUACAGCUU